rnacentral:rRNA from 1 species
CCAAGUCUUGGGCCAGCAGCCGCGGUAAUUCCAGCUCCAAUAGCGUAUAUUAAAGUUGUUGCAGUUAAAAAGCUCGUAGUUGAACUUUGGGCCUGGGCGGACGGUCUACCUAUGGUAAGCACUGUUGCGGCCGGGUCUUUCCUUCUGGCUAGCCCUCGGGCGAACCAGGACGAUUACUUUGAGGAAAUUAGAGUGUUCAAAGCAGGCCUUUGCUCGGAUAUAUUAGCAUGGAAUAAUAGAAUAGGACGCAUGGUUCUAUUUUGUUGGUUUCUAGGACCAUCGUAAUGAUUAAUAGGGACGGUCGGGGGCAUCAGUAUUCAGUCGUCAGAGGUGAAAUUCUUGGAUUGACUGAAGACUAACUACUGCGAAAGCAUUUGCCAAA